GACGAACGCUGGCGGCGUGCUUAACACAUGCAAGUCGAACGAAGAGCGAUGGAAGCUUGCUUCUAUCAAUCUUAGUGGCGAACGGGUGAGUAACGCGUAAUCAACCUGCCCUUCAGAGGGGGACAACAGUUGGAAACGACUGCUAAUACCGCAUACGAUCUAAUCUCGGCAUCGAGGAUAGAUGAAAGGUGGCCUCUACAUGUAAGCUAUCACUGAAGGAGGGGAUUGCGUCUGAUUAGCUAGUUGGAGGGGUAACGGCCCACCAAGGCGAUGAUCGGUAGCCGGUCUGAGAGGAUGAACGGCCACAUUGGGACUGAGACACGGCCCAGACUCCUACGGGAGGCAGCAGUGGGGAAUCUUCCGCAAUGGACGAAAGUCUGACGGAGCAACGCCGCGUGAGUGAUGACGGCCUUCGGGCUGUAAAGCUCUGUUAAUCGGGACGAAAGGCCUUCUUGCGAAUAGUGAGAAGGAUUGACGGUACCGGAAUAGAAAGCCACGGCUAACUACGUG
rnacentral:rRNA from 1 species